CGCAAGCCUGACGGAGCAACGCCGCGUGAGGGAGGAAGGCCUGUGGGUCGUAAACCUCUUUUCUCAAGGAAGAAGAUCUGACGGUACCAGAGGAAUCAGCAUCGGCUAACUCCGUGCCAGCAGCCGCGGUAAGACGGAGGAUGCAAGCAUUAUCCGGAAUGAUUGGGCGUAAAGCGUCCGCAGGUGGCGAUGCAAGUCUGCUGUCAAAACCCAGGGCUCAACUCUGGUCAGGCAGUGGAAACUACAAAGCUAGAGUCUGGUAGGGGCAAAGGGAAUUCCCGGUGUAGCGGUGAAAUGCGUAGAGAUCGGGAAGAACAUCGGUGGCGAAAGCGCUUUGCUAGACCAGAACUGACACUCAGGGACGAAAGCUAGGGGAGCG
rnacentral:rRNA from 1 species